AUGGAGGAAAAUAGUUCUGUCAGUGAGCACAUACUCAAAAUGUCUGGGUUGCACAAUCGCCUGUCCCAGCUGGACAUUAACCUUCCGGACGAGGCGGUCAUUGACAGAAUCCUUCAGUCGCUCCCACCGAGCUAUAAGAGCUUUGUGAUGAACUACAAUAUGCAGGGGAUGGUGAAAACUAUUCCUGAAGUAUUUUCAAUGCUAAAGUCGGCAGAGGUAGAAAUCAAGAAAGAACAUCAAGUGUUGAUGGUCAAUAAAACCACCAAGUUCAAGAAGGGCAAGGGUAAGAAGAACUUCAAGAAGGACGGCAAGGAUGUUGCCGCGCCUGGUAAACCAGUUGCCAGGAAGAAGUCCAGCAAUGGACCCAAGCCUGAGACUGAGUUCUUUGAUUGCAAAGGGAAGGGUCACUGGAAGCGGAACUGCCCCAAAUACUUAGCGGACAAGAAGGCCGACAACACUAAAGGUAUAUUUGAUAUACAUGUAAUUGAUGUGUACCUUACCAGUACUCAUAGUAACUCCUGGGUAUUUGAUACCGGUGCCGUUGCUCACAUUUGUAACUCACAGCAGGAGCUGCAGAAUAAGCGGAGACUGGCGAAGGACGAGGUGACGAUGCGCGUCGAGAAUGGUUCCAAGGUCGAUGUGAUCGCCGUCGGCACGCUACCUCUACAUUUACCUAUGGGAUUAGUUUUAAAACCUUAA
rnacentral:rRNA from 1 species